CUAAGGUCGAUGGCGACCGGCGCACGGGUGAGUAACACGUAUCCAACCUGCCGAUGACUCGGGGAUAGCCUUUCGAAAGAAAGAUUAAUACCCGAUGGCAUAGUUCUUCCGCAUGGUAGAACUAUUAAAGAAUUUCGGUCAUCGAUGGGGAUGCGUUCCAUUAGGUUGUUGGCGGGGUAACGGCCCACCAAGCCUUCGAUGGAUAGGGGUUCUGAGAGGAAGGUCCCCCACAUUGGAACUGAGACACGGUCCAAACUCCUACGGGAGGCAGCAUG
rnacentral:rRNA from 1 species